CCUACGGGAGGCAGCAGUGAGGAAUAUUGGUCAAUGGACGCAAGUCUGAACCAGCCAUGCCGCGUGCAGGAAGACGGCUCUAUGAGUUGUAAACUGCUUUUGUACGAGGGUAAACGCAGAUACGUGUAUCUGUCUGAAAGCAUCGUACGAAUAAGGAUCGGCUAACUCCGUGCCAGCAGCCCCGGUAAUACGGAGGAUUCAAGCGUUAUCCGGAUGUAUUGGGUUUAAAGGGUGCGUCGGCGGUCGGAUAAGUUAGGGGUGAAAUCCCGAGGCUAAACUUCGGAAUUGCCUCGGAUACUGUUCGGCUAGAGGGUAGUUGCGGUAGGCGGAAUGUAUGGUGAAGCGGUGAAAUG
rnacentral:rRNA from 1 species